rnacentral:rRNA from 1 species
AGCGAACGCUGGCGGCAGGCCUAACACAUGCAAGUCGAACGGACCCUUCGGGGUUAGUGGCGGACGGGUGAGUAACACGUGGGAACGUGCCUUUAGGUUCGGAAUAGCUCCUGGAUACGGGUGGUAAUGCCGAAUGUGCCCUUCGGGGGAAAGCUUUAUCGCCUUUAGAGCGGCCCGCGCCUGGUUAGCUAGUUGGUGAGGUAAUGGCUAACCAAGGAGACGAUCAGUAGCUGGUCUGAGAGGAUGACCAGCCACAUUGGGACUGAGACACGGCCCAAACUCCUACGGGAGGCAGCAGUGGGGAAUCUUGCGCAAUGGGCGAAAGCCUGACGCAGCCAUGCCGCGUGAAUGAUGAAGGUCUUAGGAUUGUAAAAUUCUUUCACCGGGGACGAUAAUGACGGUACCCGGAGAAGAAGCCCCGGCUAACUUCGUGCCAGCAGCCGCUGUAACAC